GUCGAGAAUCUUUCACAAUGGGGGCAACCCUGAUGGAGCGACGCCGCGUGGAGGAUAAGGUCUUCGGAUUGUAAACUCCUGUCAUGCGUGAACAAGGUUGCUUGGAUAAUACCUGAGCAAAUUGAUGGUAGCGCAAGAGGAAGAGACGGCUAACUCUGUGCCAGCAGCCGCGGUAAUACAGAGGUCUCAAGCGUUGUUCGGAAUCACUGGGCGUAAAGGGUGCGUAGGUGGCGUGGUAAGUCAGAUGUGAAAGCCCGGGGCUCAACCUCGGAACUGCAUCCGAUACUGCCAUGCUAGAGUACUGGAGAGGUGACUAGAAUUCUCGGUGUAGCAGUGAAAUGCGUAGAUAUCGAGAGGAAUACCAAAGGCGUAGGCAGGUCACUGGACAGUUACUGACACUGAGGCACGAAGGCCAGGGGAGCGAACGGGAUUAGAUACCCUAGUAGUCC
rnacentral:rRNA from 1 species